rnacentral:rRNA from 1 species
UGAGCGGCGGACGGGUGAGUAACGCGUGGGCAACCUGCCUCAUACAGGGGGAUAACAGUUAGAAAUGACUGCUAAUACCGCAUAAGCGCACGGUUCCGCAUGGAACAGUGUGAAAAACUCCGGUGGUGUGAGAUGGUCAAAGAUUUAUCGGCAUAAGAUGGGCCUGCGUCUGAUUAGCUAGUUGGUGGGGUAACGGCCCACCAAAGCGACGAUCAGUAGCCGACCUGAGAGGGUGACCGGCCACAUUGGGACUGAGACACGGCCCAAACUCC